rnacentral:rRNA from 1 species
AGAGUUUGAUCCUGGCUCAGAACGAACGCUGGCGGCGUGGAUAAGACAUGCAAGUCGAACGCUGAUUAGAGGGUAGCAAUAUUCUCUAGUUGGAGUGGCGCAAGGGUGCGUAACACGUGGGUAAUCUGCCGUGAAGACUGGGAUAACUCGCUGAAAGGCGAGCUAAUACCGGAUGUGACUGUUGGGAGGCAUUUCUCGACAUUCGAAGCUGGGGACCGCAAGGCCUGGCGCUUCACGAUGAGCCCGCGGCCUAUCAGCUAGUUGGUGAGGUAACGGCUCACCAAGGCUAAGACGGGUAGCUGGUCUGAGAGGACGACCAGCCACACUGGAACUGAGACACGGUCCAGACACCUACGGGUGGCAGCAGUCGAGAAUUUUUCACAAUGGGCGCAAGCCUGAUGGAGCGACGCCGCGUGGGGGAUGAAGGGUUUCGAUCCGUAAACCCCUGUCAUUUGCGAACAAACCUUAUCGUUGAACAGGCGAUGAGCUGAUUGUAGCGAAAGAGGAAGGGACGGCUAACUCUGUGCCAGCAGCCGCGGUAAUACAGAGGUCCCAAGCGUUGUUCGGAUUCACUGGGCGUAAAGGGUGCGUAGGUGGCCAGGUAAGUUUGAUGUGAAAGCUCGGAGCUUAACUCCGAAAUGGCAUUGAAUACUAUCUGGCUGGAGGGUCGGAGGGAGACUGGAAUUCUCGGUGUAGCAGUGAAAUGCGUAGAUUCGAGAGGAACACCAGUGGCGAACGAGUCUCUGGACAAUCCUGACACUGAGGCACGAAAGCUAGGGGAGCAAACAGGAUAGAUACCCUGGUAGUCAGGGCGAUCAGCAACUGGCCCGUUACUAGUGGCC